rnacentral:rRNA from 1 species
UACGGAGGGUGCGAGCGUUGUCCGGAAUCAUUGGGCGUAAAGGGCGCGUAGGCGGCCGUCCCAAGCGUGCGGUGAAAGUCAGGGGCUCAACCCCUGAUCGGCCGUGCGAACUGGGGGGCUCGAGGCACUGUAGAGGCAGGCGGAAUUCCGGGUGUAGCGGUGGAAUGCGCAGAUAUCAGGAAGAACACCAAUGGCGAAAGCAGCUCUCUGGGACGGUACUGACGCUGAGACGCGAAAGCGUGGGGAGCGAACAGG